AUGGGCUUUUUUUUUUUUUUUUUCUUUUUUUUUUUUUUUUUUUUUCCUUCCCUCCCCCCCCCCCCCCCCCCCCCCCCCGCCGCCGCCGUCUCCGGGCUUCUCGGUCGCUGCGCCCCCCCCCCUCCCCGGGGCAGCCCCCGGGGCGCAGGGCGGAGCGGCAGCCAGGGCGCCCGCAGCGCUCCCCUCCCCUCCCCUCCCCCUCCCCGCGGGGCAGCUCGGAGCGGGGGCGCCCCUCCCCCCCUCCCCCCUCCCCUCCCGCACCCCGCGCGGGGCCGCGCCCGCAGCCCGGGCCUCACCUCUGCGGGCGGCGAGGUGCCGGGGGCGGCGCCGGGCGCGCGGGGCGGGGGCGGGGCGGGGCGCGCGGGGCGGGGGCGGGGCGGGGCGGGGCGGGGCGGGGCGGGGCGGGGGCGGGCGCUCGGCCGCCCAUAUAAGGCGCGCGGCGGCCGAACUUGGGACUGGGCUGCUGGGCUCGCGGCGCGCGGACGGCGGAGGCCCGCGGCGGCGGGUGAUGGGAGCGCCGCGGCUCCCGGGCGCAGGCGGCGGCGGCCGAGCUCGGCGGGCGCGGCGGGAGCGCUGAAGACAAGGCUGCGCGGGCGCCCGAGACCCAGCCUCCCGCAGCCGGGGCCGCUGCGCCCGCCCUAUUGUUCCGGCGCUGCCCGGAGCUCGGGGUCGCUCCCCGCGGAGGAGGCGCGCGGAGGCGCCGAGGCAGGUGCAGCCCCGGGAGCCGCGCGGCGCCGCGACGUCGGCGGGAAGGCGGCCGCGGGGCGCGGGGCCCGGAGCCUCGGAAAAGUUCCUGCGCUUCGGGGAGCGGCGCGCGCCGGGCGGCGUCGCGGGGCGGCCGAGGGGCUGCGGCCGCCUCUGCCAUCAGGUGUCUGCGGCGGAGCUGCGGCGCCCCCGGGACACGCGAGGGGCCGACACGCGCGCGCGCAGCGGACCGCGCCGUCCUCGGAGCGGCGGAGCCCCCCCGCCCGCCGCCGCCGCCGCCGCCACCACCACCACCUGGACGCCCGCCGGGACUGCGCGGCGGCACCCGCGCCCGCACCCGCACCCGCACGCGGACGCCCGCCCCCGGCCCGCGCACCCAGCCGCCGGGGGACCCCGCGCUCCCCGGGUCGGGGUGCCGCCUGGCGGGCGCUGCGGCCCCGCUGCCCUUUUGUCUCGUCGGCGUGA
rnacentral:lncRNA from 1 species